GCCGGGCGUAGUGGCGGGCGCCUGUAAUCCCAGCUACUUGGGAGACUAAGGCAGGAGAAUCGUUUGAACCUGGGAGGCAGGGGUUGCAGUGAGCCGAGAUUGCACCACUGCACUUCCGCCUGGGUGACAGAGUGAGACUCCGUCUUAA
rnacentral:SRP_RNA from 2 species